rnacentral:rRNA from 1 species
UGAGUACGAGAUGCUACGGCGUCGAAGCAGUCUAUGUCAUACUUCCAAGAAAAGCUUGCACUGUCAUAAACAAAUAAUGCCUGUACCAUAACCGACACAGGUGGGUAGGUAGAGUAUACUAAGGGGCGCGAGAUAACUCUCUCUAAGGAACUCGGCAAAAUGACUCCGUAACUUCGGGAGAAGGAGUGCCUUAUUUAUAAGGUUGCAAUAACAAGAUCCAAGCAACUGUUUACCAAAAACACAGGUCUCCGCUAAGUCGUAAGACGAUGUAUGGGGGCUGACGCCUGCCCAGUGCCAGAAGGUUAAAGAAGUUGGUUAGCAUCCGCGAAGCUGAUAACUGAAGCCCUGGUGAACGGCGGCCGUAACAAUAACGGUCCUAAGGUAGCGAAAUUCCUUGUCGGGUAAGUUCCGACCCGCACGAAAGGCGUAAUGAUUUGGAUACUGUCUCGGAGAGGGGCUCGGUGAAAUAGACUUGUCUGUGAAGAUGCGGACUACCUGCACCAGGACAGAAAGACCCUAUGAAGCUUUACUGUAACCUGAAAUUGAAAUUGGACUUUACUUGCGCAGUAUAGGUGGGAGGCGUUGAGAAUAUUCUUGCGGGAUUAUUGGAGCCAUCAGUGAGAUACCACUCUUGUAAUGUUAGAUUUCUAACUUUGUAUCAUUAUCUGGUCAAAGAACAGUUUCAGGCGGGCAGUUUGACUGGGGCGGUCGCCUCCUAAACGGUAACGGAGGCGCACAAAGGUUUCCUCUGAACGGGUAGAAAUCGUAUCUAGAGUGUAAAGGCAUAAGGAAGCUUGACUGUGAGACCUACAAGUCGAGCAGGGACGAAAGUCGGUCUUAGUGAUCUGACGGUGCUGAGUGGAAAGGCCGUCACUCAACGGAUAAAAGUUACUCUAGGAUAACAGGCUGAUCUCCCCCAAGAGUUCACAUCGACGGGGAGGUUUGGCACCUCGAUGUCGGCUCAUCGCAUCCUGGGGCGGUAGUACGUCCCAAGGGUUGGGCUGUUCGCCCAUGAAAGCGGUACGCGAGCUGGGUUCAGAACGUCGUGAGACAGUUCGGUCCAUAUCCGGUGUAGGCGUUAGAAUAUUGAGAGGAGCCUUCUUUAGUACGAGAGGACCGAGAAGGACAUACCUCUGGUGUACCAGUUAUCGUGCCAACGGUAAACGCUGGGUAGCUAUGUGUGGAGUGGAUAACCGCUGAAAGCAUCUAAGUGGGAAGCCCACCUCAAGAUAAGUAUUCUC